UAGCUAUCAAGGGGUCUGGGAGAGAGCGAUGAUGACCCCAGGUUCUGAUUCCCCAGACCCUCCCCUCACUUCUGACCCUUUCCUUUCCUCUCUGCAGGGGGAUAUCCAGGAGCUUAUGAUCCUGCAAGAUGCUCAGGCUGCCUUCAGGGCCUGUGAAAACUUGCUGCCCAGCUGCGACACCCCCACUACCCCAGCCACCCCAACUGCAGGGGUGAGCACACCUUUGUAUUUGCCACAAGAUAAAUGACUGGGACAGCUAGAUGGCACUGUGGAUAGAGUACUAUGUUUGGAAUCAGGAAGACCUGAUUUUGAAUCCUACCUCAGAUACUAGCUACCGAAUGUUAAGCUAACUAAGGCCAGAUGACUUCAUCUUUCUUGGCUUGAGUUUCCUCACUUGUAAAAUGAAGGGAUUUGACUUGACCUGUAAAGUCCCUUCCAGCUUUAGAGCUAUGAUCUUUAUGACUUUAUAUGCCCUGGCAUGGGAUAAAUAAGUCUCCUAGCAUGGAGUGGGUGAUCCCUGACUUGUUGGCGUGGAAUGGAUGACCCCUGCCCUGGGGCAAGUGGUUUUCAAUUGCUCACUUUGAGGCAGGCUGACCCAAGAAUUAGCUCACUGUCCAGGAUCCUAUGUGACCAGAAUGCCUGGGUUCCCAACCUAGAGAAGGGCUGCUUACCGGGAAGCAUCUUCUGGGCCCUGAGCAGAAUGCCUUCUACCCAGGUGGAGCCAGAAACCCCUCCUCCCCAAAGGAAGAGGAAGGGGAAAGGGAAGGGAAAGGGCCGCAAGGGCCGCAAGGGCAAGGGCAAGAAAAAGAAAAACAAGGACUCUGAGAAACCAGAAGUGCUCCCAACUUCACCAGAAGGCCAGAUCACCACUCACAUUCCUGAGGUAGAGACUUUAACUCUUCCCUCUGAGACAGAGACUGUGGCUCCAACUGCCCCUCUGAAUGUCACAGUUGUCACAUCCACAGUGGCCAUCAGUCUCAAUGGCACCACCUAUAAAGACCCUGGAAAUGAGCCAGUGUCCUCUGAAGCUACACACAAGCUCCCUGAGCCACGGGAGGGCAGGGGUGAGGAAUGGGGAAACUCUACUAUGAACCCCAUCUAUGGGCCAGCUGAGCGGGGGUCAGAGACCCAGAUCUACAUAUUUCCUAAUGCUGGUGAAAAAGGUCAGAAAGGGGAGCCAGCAGUUAUUGAACUGGUGAGUGGGGGACAGUAA
rnacentral:lncRNA from 1 species